CAAAUAUUGAUAAAGGAAAUUUAAACAGAAUGAAAAAUGAUUUGAUUAGAUAAACGACUCAGUAAAUUCUUUCACUUUUGGAUAAUGUAUUCUAGAUGUAAGAUAGUACUUCGAUAGAUAAGACAGUUUUGACACAAUUCAUGUGAAUCUAAGCUAUGUUCUUACCAUACAUCCGUAUUGAUCCUUCCGUAGAUCCGAGUGAAUUCUCAGCGAAACAUUUGUAUAAUCAUAUCUCCUCCAUCUUUGGCCCAAUAAUUGAUGGACACAGGAUAAGCUUCCGUGUGACAGUCUAAGGUAACAUCUUUUCCCAUUGCUGCACCAACCAGCUGGUUUGGUAUCCACAUAACUGGAGGAA